UUUCCUGGGUGGUAACUCUACCUUCUCUGUUACUUUCUUUUUUUUUUCAUUUCUUUUAACUUUUAGAAAAUUAUAGGUUGGUUGGUUAAAUUCAUCACAGGUUUCUUUUUCCUGGGCCAGAUUGUUUUAUUUCUCAUUUGUGCAGAGAUUUGGAUAUGUUCCUAAGGAGAAGGGCUCAGCUUUCUCUUUAUCUUCAGGCUUUUAAAAUUCAUUCUGAAUGUUGUUAGAUAAUGGAGUAACCAUUCCUUUUCAGCUUUGGUUUGUUUCCAAACUGGCUGCCAGAGCCAGGAGGAAGCGAAGGCAGUGUCACUAACUGUUGGUUACUACCUCCUUAAUGCUGAGACUAUACCCCUUGUUGGUUUGAUAGAGAACAGGAGAGAGCACAGCCCUCGUUCCACUAACAGCUCUAUUCCAGUGCUUCUCUCCUCCCAGAGGUGCAAGGAGUGAUCCUAGAGCCACAGAUACAGCCAAGACCACGGAGAGCUUUUGACGUCAGGGGUCCACUUUCUCCACUGAACCCUUGGAGACAGAAUAUCCAGCUUCUGGAGAGAGUGGGAAAGGAUAAGAAACAAGUAUCUUGAUAAUGGGAGACCGGUUUAUUUGUUCUCUAAUUGCCCAGAUUUCUUUCAACUGGUAAAACAUCAUACCUCUUCAGCAAAAGGAAUUCUUCUAGCAGAGCCCUCCUGGAUGAUAUGUGUCACACAUGCCAGGACCUGCAGUGUGGAAGGCAGUGGUGAAUGGACCCAUGCAUAUGUCUAGAAGACACAAGGAUGAGCAGCACCUGAUCUUGUUGCUUAUAAACUUCUUAAGAGUCACUCUGCUUUAUUUUUGGUCUGAAAAUGGAAAGGCUCAAAGUGAAGUAAUCUUUUAUAUUAGAGUUCUAUAUGGCCGUAAAAAUAUUUCUUAUUCUAAAGACUGAAAUAGAGGAAGAUUGAGAGUCUUGUCUUUCAGAGCAGCUCUCUGUAUCUGUUUCACUUCAAAGACUUGUGGGACUGAAAACCAAUUUAAUUAAGUAGGCAACCCCCACUUUAAAAAGUAGCAGAAAAAAUACAAAAAGCAUGAUAGGCCCUCUCUACCUCCUCCUCUUUGUUACCCAGUGCUAAGGGGACUAGCAAAUAAAGGAUGGACCCAGCUCUUCAAGAGUCUGUUAAUGUUAAGAUGUACUCUUAGCUCAUCUCUUGUUGGUCCUGAGCCUUAUCUUAUUGUAAUCUGUCAGACUAUAACAAAGUCUAGAGCUGUCUCAGACCAAUGGAAUCCUGUCUGUGUUCCUACGUAGUAAGUGCCUGUUAGGUCUCCUCUGCACUGACGGCAUAUACACGUGGAUGAUGCAGAGCGUUGGUGUGGGACACAGCUAAACCACAGAGUUCUGAGCCUGCAGGUGGGAAUGAAAUCACCAGUUGACAGGAGCUAUCAAAAUGCUGGUUUCUUUGGUUAUCUAGUAACUCUAGAAACCAGUCAGAGCUAUUAAGGAAAACUCUUAACAGUCACCUGAUGCUGCCAGUUCCUUUUAAUUUGGAGUAAGUUUUAUAAGAAGAGAAAUUGUAGAGUUAAUAAUAUAAAAACAACUGAGAUGUUAGGCUCUCAAAGUAUAAUAGCUACAUUUGCUAAAAAUAUAAUCUGUUCUUAGUCUUUCUUGACUAUAAGAACUAUUUUUUCUUAGAAAUUAUAAAUCAUUUUUCAAAAGUAUAAUCCUUAAAAGUACAUGUUAAAGAUAAUUUUGAAUGGAAAAUUUCCCCCACAGAACUCUGAAUUCCCUUGAAUGAUUACAGUAUUGUAUUCCUGACUUAAUAAAAUACUUCAUAAGUACAUAUAAACAAAAACCAAAUUACCUGACAUUUUAGUAAGAACUCAGGGAAUUGAAAGUGACAUUUGCCUAGAAAUUUAGUUGCAUUCUUUAAACUACUGUAGAAAAAAUUUUAUGGCCUGAGGUCAUUAGCCUUUUGUCUCAGCACUGAAGACAGAAAGUGGUUUACGCUCGGUAUCUCAAGCUUGAGUUAAGUUCACUCUGUUCUUAAGUAUGCGAAAGAGAUGUCAGUGCGGUUCCAUUACCUCAUGCACGGCAAGCUAUUGGAAAGUGAAAUUUUUUUGUAUGUUACUGUGUACUGAUUUGUUGGAAAUUUUAAUUUUGAUGCAUUUUCCUUUCAGAUUUUAAAGAACAAUUUCGUGUUACAAUAUGCAAUCUUAUAUCAUU